rnacentral:rRNA from 1 species
GUCGAACGCGAAAGGGGCUUCGGCCCUGAGUAGAGUGGCGAACGGGUGAGUAACACGUGGGUGACCUACCCUCGAGUGGGGGAUAACAUCCCGAAAGGGGUGCUAAUACCGCAUGACAUCCUGCCUUUGAACAGGCGGACAUCAAAGCCGGGGAUCGCAAGACCUGGCGCUCGAGGAGGGGCUCGCGUCCGAUUAGCUAGUUGGUGGGGUAAUGGCCUACCAAGGCGACGAUCGGUAGCCGGCCUGAGAGGGCGGACGGCCACACUGGGACUGAGACACGGCCCAGACUCCUACGGGAGGCAGCAGUGGGGAAUUGUUCGCAAUGGGCGCAAGCCUGACGACGCAACGCCGCGUGGAGGAUGAAGAUCUUCGGGUCGUAAACUCCUUUCGAUCGGGACGAAUGGCUGGUGGUCUAACACACCAUCAGAGUGACGGUACCGAGAGAAGAAGCCCCGGCUAACUCCGUGCCAGCAGCCGCGGUAAUACGGGGGGGGCGAGCGUUGUUCGGAAUUACUGGGCGUAAAGGGCGCGUAGGCGGCCUACUAAGUCGGACGUGAAAUCCCUCGGCUCAACCGAGGAACUGCGUCUGAUACUGGCAGGCUCGAAUCCGGGAGAGGGAUGUGGAAUUCCAGGUGUAGCGGUGAAAUGCGUAGAUAUCUGGAGGAACACCGGUGGCGAAGGCGGCAUCCUGGACCGGCAUUGACGCU